UGAGUGACUCUCAUUGUAUACUUUCUCUUCUGUUAAUAAUUCGGUCGCUUUAACUUUUAUCCUUAAACUCUUUGCAUAAUAUGCUAGUCAAAACCACCGUCUUUCGAUCUGUACUGUAAAAUAAGUAAAAAGUGUUAUAGUGACGCCGUAAAAAUCGAAAGAGAAAUGCGGUUUCUUAAAUUUUCGGCAGAAGGUUAAUCCUGAAGUCACCGGUUAAUUCUGGAGUGGUCAAAUGGUCUAGAAGACAAGAUAUUGCUAUCGAGAGCAGUCUCCAGAACGACUCGAUUCCGGAGACGUUCAACUUGAAACAUCGAACAACAACGGAUAAACUUUUAUCUUUGUUCACAAGUCCCGCUGUUAUUGUAGCAGAUAGUAGGUUUUUGCCACGCGCUACGGCCAGUAGGGAUACGCGAAUGCCGUCUGCGCCAUACAGGAAGAAACGGACGUCGAACUUGAGAACCUAAAGAUUAACGGACUGCAUGAAGUUCUAGUCAACAAAGGAGAUUUAAGCAUUCCUCGUGGAAUACAAUUUUUGAUGCUCUCUAAUUGAAAUGUUUUACACGCGAAGCAGAAGUAUGAACCGCAUUGAAAAUUACAACUGACAUUGGAACAUACACCACGUCCGUGAUCAACAGUUGGCCAUUGAUUCUUUGACUAGCACGAUGUAUCAGUUCAGUAUUUGGGACGAUACACAGAACUCACGUAACUGUGAGAAUAAAGCCCGUAAUCAACUUAUGAAUAACGCAACACCUGCUCCUAAUUUGAAAAGCUAUUCCGGUUCAGUUUGGUGACAGUGAAGUGAAAAUAGCAUCAGUGCGUAGGUUGCUAUAGAAGAUAUUUGAAUCUUUGAAUAAUUCCCAGGAUAGAAGAUUUUCCAUUUCGUAGGAGAUCAGAAUACAACUAAACAUGCUCGAACUUUUGUGAACCAAUUCAACAAAUUCACGGUUGGGACAUGAAUCUUGACAUCAUACGAACAAAGUUCCAUCUCACAUAUGCAUAUUUUAUGAUUUUUUGAAACGUAACAAAUUGUGAGUAUUGCCUCCAAUAGCUGACACACUCUCGGAAUUGCUUGUCCGUCAUCUCCCUGUGGAUGCAGGUGUGCAUCGUAAGGUCACCAACAAAGAGGCAGCGGGAAGCUGAGCUCGGGCUGGUACUAAUAUUAAGAUGCAAGAAGCCUAUUUGUAGCAGAUCAAAUAGAGCCUGUCAGAGUAAAAGCAGGUUUCGCGUCCUAAUGUUAGGAUGCUUACAGAGUGGCGGCGAGAAGCUGAUCUGGGGCUGGAACUGACAUUAAGAUGCGAGAAACCUGCUCGCAGCAUAUCAAAUGGAGCCUGUCAGAGUAAAAGCAGGCAGUCGGCGCCGAUCCGUUCGGCUUUCACUUUGACAUCCUUCCUUUGGUUUGCAGCAAGCAGGUUUCUUGCAUCUUGCAUUCUAAUGUCAGCUCCAGCCCCAGCUUCUCGCCGCCACUCUGUAAGCACCCUAUGACUGCCAUAUACAAAUAUUUCCCUACCGUGUUUACUCUGUUUCACGAACUUAGUUCAGUUCAAAGUUAGUUCAACUCAAAGAUGAACUAAUUUUUGUGUUUGAAGUGUUUUUUUCUUUUCAUGUGCAAGCCAUAUCGGUUAUAUUUGUUUGCUAGAAACUACUUCUCACAAUUAUUACAUUUAUAGGAUAUUUUUCCAUUCCAUCCAUAUAUUAUACAGCCGACAAACUGUUUUUUUUCUUUUCACUUAUCCGGCGAGCAUUACCAUUAUAAAUAAUUGCGUAUCAUGUUCAAACCAAAUAAACGAAAAUCAGCAAGUACUAUUUACUGUUAUAAGCAACAGAAAAGCAAUUCGUUCUAAGGUGUUAAAUAACAACAUACUAAAUAUUUACUUAUUCGUGUAAUUUGUUGGCUCGUUUUAUUUCCUAUUUCGUAUAUGUGAGGUCCAAUUCGGACAACAAACAGCAUUUUUUUCACUAAAAACUCCAAUUGCUAUUUUACAAACCUAGAAAUAUAAAUUUUAGCAUGCAACCGAGCAUGCUCAACAUUUUCAACCUUUUGCUUAACUUUCGCUGAGCAUUUGCUCUAGAUUUAUAACUUUAUUCAUAUGGAAUCAGAUGUUCGAAAAGCGAACACUCAAACUGAGAAAGAAACUGUCAAAGUAAAGUUUUAUUCAUACCAAGUUGAGCAAAUGCUCAACACAGCUGCUCGACUGCUCGAAUCUUGAAAAGCUGAGUAAAUGCUAGUUUUUAUUCAUACGGCUUAUUGAGCUAUUCAACAAAUAUUGGUUACUUCUGAGUAAAACAAAUUUUGAUUGCCGUGAGUCGCAGAGAGUAUGCAUUAACAAAAAAAUCGCUGGAAGAAAUUGAAAUUGAUUCUCUUGGAAUAAAGUUGAUCUGAAUGAUUUAAUACAGGGUGAUUCGUCAUGACGUUUUUUUAAUCUAGUAAAAAAAAUUGAAAAAUGGAGUAAAUCGCGAAUUGUUUAUUUGUCAAUCGAAAGAACAUUGUUUGCCAUUUAUUGUUUGAAAACAAUUUCUUUUAAAUGUUGACCAUGUUGGCGCUUCAGGUAGUCCAUUCAACUGGUCCAAUUUUUGGUGUCUGGCUAAUUACUGUAAUGUAAUGUUGGUUUCCAAUGCUUGGGGAUGUCACCGCCGCUAUGUUUUCUUCACUGCGUGCUGGAUGUGGUCGAUUUGUUCGCUACUACAACACUUACUUUUUGGUUGUAUGGCGAAUAAUUGAGUCAGUUGGCCGAUUAUGUCGACCAUAUUAUGAUCGGAGUGCUCUAAACACAUUUCCCACAGAUUGCUGAUUUUCGAAAUAUAGUUGAAUAAUUUGAAGAUGGUGAACCAGUGUAAGUCGUUCCAUUAUGAAAUACUGAACUACAAACAAUACUAAACUACAAUAGCAUGACAGUUUGCACACAGAGAACAGACAUCCAUAUUCGAACAAAAAUAUUUAAAAAAACGUGUGUAAACAUUUGAAUUAAUAUACGAUAAACACUAGCGCCGCCACACCAACCUAUCCCAACUAUCCGUCAAAUCCAUUCCGGAACCGUUUCGAAAUCCUGAAUGGAUUCAGUAUGGAAUCUUUCUCAAAGAAAACAAUCGCUUCCGACUCUAUCGGUUGAUGCAUUGAGCUGGAAUUCAUGCUGGAAGUCCAAACGGUUCCGGACUAGUUUGACUGGGUAGAGGAAUAUUCGCUGUCAAUUCUGUCGAACUCAGCCACAAAAAAAACGUUACGACAGUAGCGCACCUGGUUUGGACAUCCCAACUACCUUCGAAACCGUUAGAGAUUUUACAUAAGUUGAAUGCUGAAGAUGAUCUGUUCUCUGUGGUUUGCAGUUAGCACCCGUUAACUACUAGAAAAUGCCCUGUUAAAAAACUUCAUGUUGAACCACCCUGUAUAUGCCAAGGUUUGAGACUAAAAUUAAGGACAUUUGAAGUAAAAUAAGGACGCUUUCCAAAAACCUCGAAAAUAAGGACAUGUCCUUAAAAAUAAGGACGGUUGGUAACCCUAAUAGAAAGGUCUAGGGCGAAAAUGACACUUUAUGAACAAGGAGGUGUGGAAAGGUGUUGAUCAAAUUUAUUCGAUAAUUUUAUAUCUUGUUGAUUAAUGUAGUAACGAAUUUUAUCAUGCCUUUUUCAUUUCUUUUCUCGCUCUAGGGGAUAGCUAAUGUAAACUAGAAUGACCCUUCUUCCUGCUCCUAUCCUGUCUGGUAAAAUACAAUUGACUUAAAUUCAAAGCUCUAUAUUUGAAUAAACUAAAGUAGACAGUUCGAGUCAUUGUACUAAACGACGGAUUUUAUUGCAACUUUGGGUUGAGAAUCCUGUUUGUCUUUAUCAACAUUAAAAGAAAGAUGAUUGAAAAAGAAAAAAAAACUCUUCGAGUUUUGGAUCCAUGUUUGUUAUCUUUUGGGGUAAAUUCAUAUCAUCAGGAUUUAUAGAUGUAGAUUUUUGCUUGUCCUCAAAUUUUAUUUCCAAAUCGAACACACUUCACAUAAUCUUAGAAAAAAGAACAAAACCAAGUUUAAUAAUUUCCUUUAAGAAGAAAUUCCGGAGUCGUUACUCGUUAAACACGGAUCACAACAGAAAACGAACAAGAAAACAUCAGGCUGGACCAUAGAUUCAGUCAAUUCUCAAAGUAAUGGGAUAAGAGCAAGGACAACAUAUCAAGAAGACAAAGUUGCCAGUUCAGUUCAGAGUCUGCAGACAUUAACAGCAACACGUCUUUCGGGUAAAGGUGAUACUUUCUAUAUCUACUUUUAUAUUGAUAUCGCUAUCUUCGUAAAACCUUUCUCAUUUACUAUACAGAAAUCUUCAAUGUACAGCCAUUCCCAAAAGUUAACAAACUUGAACAUAAAUCUCAUCGAAUUAUUUUUCUACCCUUCAUCAAACUGUCAAUCAGGAUUCUCAAUCGAAAUCAAAUCAAAUGACUGAAUAUCUAAUCGAGUUUGAUCAAAUAUAAAGUUAAAAUUCAGGCCAAAUAUAUCCCACAAGAUGGUAACGAGCAAAAAGGUUGAUUCAAGAUUACAUUAAGCAUACUCCAGAAUGAGUGAAGGAAAAAAAGAAGAAACAAAUAUAUCUGUCACAGAAAAAAAGCUGUUUCAUUCUGCUGCAUUACCCAGCAUCUUUCAAAAGAGUCUUAAUUUCGUUCAAAUUUUAUCUACUCUUCUCUAUAUCUCCAUGCUCCUAAAAUAUCAUUGCUGCGAAUAAAACGGUGGAAUCUGGAAUUAUGCUUUUUACGCUAAAAAAGGGACUUUGCUAGCAUUCAGAUUCUUCUGAGAACACUGUUAAAAUGAGGCAAUCCAUUUUUUUACAAAUAAAAAUGUGUUUGGAAUAAAGCUUCUAAACCAAUAGGCCCCGUGCGAAUCUAGAAACUUUGAUAAAAAUUUAAUAGCUUUCUCUGGCCUUUUUAGAUCGCAAUGUAGUUUUCUACAAAGUUGUAUACAAUGAAAUUGUCCAUCAGAUUUUUGCUUUUGGUAAUAUUUGAAUUUGAAUACCUAGGGGCAAAAAUGUGAACCAGUUUCAUUUAAAAACCCAAGUUUUCAAACAAAAUACCUUUAAAAUAAAAAGUUGUUGUGGAAUAUUCUAAUUUUACUUUCAAAUGAAAGGGAAAAGCCCAUUCUAUCACAUGUUGAUGUUUUAGCGAUGCCGAUUUUUUUCGAAUAAAAUUAGGGUUGCCACCUCUGGAGAGUCUAUGACCCGGAGAUUUUCACUGGACUUUGGGGGGGGGGGGGCGGAGGGUGGUGGAUUUUGAGUGGAACUAGACGGAAAUUGGCAUCAAAACGAUUGCUCGGCAGUUUAGAGCACUUUAAUCGCUUUUUAUUACUACGUUUGAGUAAAGCUGUAAUUUUUUCUUAUUUGAGAACGGUUUGGUCGGUUUAAUCUGGUGUAGUAUUUCACUUCCCCUACUAAAUACCAAGAAUAUAAAAGCACCAGCUACUCUCGCUGUGCAGGAUAAGUCGUACAGGCAUUGCUCUCCUCUAUAACUAACUGGAAAAGGAGAGCAAAGGAGACUGUGGCAUCACAUGGGAAGCACUAUGUGGUGUCGGUUAUUCAUCACCAGAGGUCGGGGGUACAAAGAGGCAAAAUUCACCCCCUAGCCAACAGUUAAGGGUCGCUGCAGGAGUAGCAACAACAAGGGAAAAACUCGUUUGAUGUUGACCUAGUAAGUUGGAUUAGAACAAAUCUGCCAUACCUUGGUGCAGCUGGUGGUAAGCUUCACUAACAGUGAAGUGAUUUGAAAAAAUUGCAGCAAAAUGACUUUUUCACAUCAUUUUGAGUGACUUAGUGGGAUGCUACAUUUAAAUUGUAGCAUAUAGCGAAACAUUACUUUACUUAAUUUUGUAGUAAAUUUGAUGUUUUUCAUAUUCAUUGCUUUGUGAAAGAAAUCAGCAAUAUUUGGUGAACUCAUCUUCGCCACCUUGAAACGAGGUAAGUCGGGCAAAAUAAAUCUGAACCAGAGUAAUAUUUAACUUAGACUUUUUAAAUAUUUUGUAAAGAAUCAAUUCAUUCCAAAAAAUGAAAUUAUUCUUCUUCCAUUAAACCCGGAGAAAUUGAUGUAAAACCCGCAGGUCCGGAGUUUGCUCCCGAAAACCGGAGUCUCCGGGUCAAACCCGGAGGGGUGGCAACCCUAAAUAAAAUUAUUCUACCAAAUACACCGUGCAUUUCAUGACAAAUAUAGUGUUGAUAAUUUGUUUUGAAUUUUAAAUGUCAAGGGGAGCAUGAAGACAAGUUCUCUCAGUUCACAAUCGUGCAGCUGCCAAUGAUUCUAAGAAUCAUACGUUCAUCUAAAUUACUAAAUUUUGUUUGGUUGAAUCCGAAGUGAAAAUAAAAUUCAGCUUCCAAACUAAGUCUACUAGUUAGCAACAUUAGCUAACUAAUGUAGCAGGUUAAAUCCGCAUUCAAAAUCUUUUCGUAUUUUUGCGAACUUGUAAUUCCACGAAUCGUAAAAUUUACCUCAUGAAAAACCGCAUCAAAAGUAACUUGUUUGAAUUUAAAUCCAUUUUUUUGGGAAUGGAGGAUCAUUAAAUUAUUUUCUCUAGACAAUGGGUUUUAAACUUAAAGCUACGUCGCACAACUUCUGACCCUACACAUCGUCCCACUUCGACACAAAUUUGGUAUUCCCUCCCUACCCCCCAAAAUGCUACGGCCCCAGUUUGAAAAUGAUAAUAUUUCAAUGCGUUUGUUGCUAAUAUCUGUCGAUCGAUUCUAGGUUUGGGCGGAUUACAAAUAUAAAGUGAAAAAUAGAUUACGACACAAUGUGAAUAGCGUAAAGAACACUGGAGGAGGUCCAAAUAAACAGAAACUUUUGAAUCCAUACGAAGAGAGUA